rnacentral:SRP_RNA from 1 species
GCCAGGUGUGGUGGUGCAUGCCUGUAGUCCCAGCUACUAAGGAGGCUGAGGCAGGAGGAUCGCCUGGGCCCAGGAGGUCUAGGGUGCAGUGAGCCAUGAUCACGCCACUGCACUCUGGCCUGGGUGACAGAGCAAGACCUUGUCUCAA